AGCGUUCCCGCCCGGGAGCCGAGCCCUGCACCGCGGGCCCCCUACCUGGCCUCCACCCCGCCCCGCACGCGGGCUCGCCCUGUGCCUCCACCCUCCCCGGAUCUCCCUCGCCGCUGCCCCCGGCCCUUCCGCAGACACGCGCUGUUCCAUCCAAUGCCUGAUCCCCGGCGCUGUGAUAAAGGAAACCCCACGCCCAAGAUGGAGCCCCAGCCCCCCCUCCCCCAGAAGCGUGGUCAGAACGGGUCAGCCAGGGCACCCAUGAGGGCACCUGUCACGGGGACCCCUCCUCUCCCCGCCCGCACCAAAGGAAGAGGAAGAGGAGAUGAUGCCCAGAGGUCCUGGGAGCACCUCUCUGCUUGCUGGAUGGGAUGCCCCCCGAUUCGCGAGUCAAGCCAAGUUGAUCUUUUCAAUGACCCCGCUGAAUUUUUGUGUGGCCACAUACAGAGAUGAACGGAUGGAGUUUGGGCCUUGCCCUUGAAGAGCAAUGGCCAGAGCAGCUCUUUCCUAAAAUGGACAGAUUCUACCCCACUUUGGCCCAUCGCUCUCAAAUCUGUGUCUACAUCUGUGUUCUCACGGGGCUCUAGGCCCAUCUCCUCGCUGGACACCGGUGAAAUGGACAUAAUUUAAUAUCCCUGGCCCAUAUUGUUACACACAAGGAUGGUCUUUCCUGAUGCUUU